rnacentral:rRNA from 1 species
CCUACGGGAGGCAGCAGUGGGGAAUAUUGCACAAUGGGGGAAACCCUGAUGCAGCGACGCCGCGUGAGCGAUGAAGUAUUUCGGUAUGUAAAGCUCUAUCAGCAGGGAAGAAAAUGACGGUACCUGACUAAGAAGCCCCGGCUAACUACGUGCCAGCAGCCGCGGUAAUACGUAGGGGGCAAGCGUUAUCCGGAUUUACUGGGUGUAAAGAGAGCGUAGACGGCAUGGCAAGCCAGAUGUGAAAGCCCGGGGCUCAACCCCGGGACUGCAUUUGGAACUGUCAGGCUAGAGUGUCGGAGAGGAAAGCGGAAUUCCUAGUGUAGCGGUGAAAUGCGUAGAUAUUAGGAGGAACACCAGUGGCGAAGGCGGCUUUCUGGACGAUGACUGACGUUGAGGCUCGAAAGCGUGGGGAGCAAACAGGAUUAGAUACCCCAGUAGUC